rnacentral:lncRNA from 1 species
GUGACCCUGCUCCCAGCCUCCUCCCCCUGCCCCCUGCCCUCUCCCAGCCUCUAUGUCCUGCACCUUUUCCUUCUGUGUAAGGAGCCCCCACUGAGCUGCGCUCCCUGAGCUGCGCUCCCUGAGCUUGUUUCUUGCGUCUCCUCAGAUCCAGUCCCCCCCGCUCCAGCACCUGCAGGACCCCCCAGUCACCUUCCCUCUUCCUCCCCACUGGGCCUGCUCCGCCUUGGCUUCUUGCUUCACCCCUCAUUCCCGCUGGCUGUGGCUUCCGUCACUGUGUCCUGUGUCUGGACCCCAGUGAGUGCCCAGGGUGGUGCCACAGCCGUUUCCACCCUGCCCUGCGCUUAGCCCAGAAUAUGCAGUAGGUGCCCAGUUAAUGGCCUCGGUGCCCCCUCCGCCUCUGGGAACCCCAUCACCUGGUUCCCACGCUCCCACUUCCCGGCUCUGUUCCCCAAACCACACAGGGAGGCUGAACUCCGCACAGCCUGCACGCCUGCGCCCUCUGCCGGUCAUGCGGGUGGGACCGGCGAGGGACAGUGCGCCCGCAGAGGUUUCUCCCUCACCACGGCCUCUCGUGCGGAGUUGGUCUUGACCUGCUCGGCGACCUAGUAACGUGGUUGUAGCACUUAAGGAUUCUGCACAGCACUCCGCAGGGCUGUGCAGUUAGAGCCUCGGUUCAUCCGUCUGCAGAGCGCUGUUAAGAUCACCACGAAAAGACCCACCAGCAUGGCCCCUAAAACUACCAGAGCGGGUCUCCAGUUCACAGGAGGAAAGAGCUCAGAGCCUCCGUCCCUGAGUUUUGGAGCUAUAGUGGGGGUGGCAGUGGCUGCCACCAUUGCACUCAUAGCCAUAAUUGUGGGACUGAUGGUCUUCCUUAAGUGGCAGAGAAAAAAAGGUCAGCAGGUUGAAGCCCAAAGCCCCGCCGGGGAACUUGUCGAAAGCACUGAGAACUAUGAGAACACUAAGUACGAAGAAAAACAUAAAGACGCCCAGCUGAACCCCCAGAAUGACAUCGUCUAUGCCUCUGUCACCCUCUCCAACUUGACCUCACCCCGAGCACCUCUCUGCCAACCUUCCCACGAGACGCCCCAAGAAGAGAUACUGUACACUCUCCUAAAGACCUAGAGUGGGACUGGAGGACAAUCUGUGAGUCCGGUAGGAAUGAUCACAGCUUCCAACAGUAGCUAAGAUGGCUCAGAAGUCAGCGAGUUUGACUCAGAAGUCAGCCAGAAAGGAAUUGAAAAAGCCGUCUAUAUUAGUUCCCUCUUCAACUUCCAAGCCCUUGCUCAGAAACACAAUGACCCACAAAAUGUGUCGAUUGCAUUUAAAGACGAAACUGAUGUCAACUUCAACUUCUGCUUCUCCACUAAAAAUAAAUUCUAAUAGAUAAUUCUUAUCUAAGGCCCCUACUUUUUUUUUCACUGACUGCCUCAAUCUGGGGAACACAAAUCCCCAAAUACUCGUAGCAGCUGUUACGGUUCGGAUCUAAAAUGACCCCGUAUUCUCAGGUGUGUGGAGGGUGACUGGCUCGCAGGGGUGCGGCACUCAUCAGUGGACUCCUCCACAGAUGAGGAGCUACGUGUGCUGUUAAAAGGUGGGGUCUGGUUGGAAGGCAUGGGGACGCAUGAACUGGAAGGAUGUAUUCUUGUCCCCGGCAGGAUCCUCCCUGCUCUCUGCGUCUGGCUGCCACGCACUGCGCACCUUUUCUCCACCAUCCUGCUUCUGCCUUGGAUCUUGCUGACCAUGCACUGAAACCAUGAGCCGAAAUAAACCUCUCCUCCUUUAAGGUGUGGGUGCCAGUUACUGUGUCUAAGCAACAGGAAAGUGACUAAGAUAUCAGCCUCGGCCCCGGGGCUGCUCCCAAGUCGGAUCAUAAUCUCCUCUCGCUGUGGUAACCACCGCACGCUGGGACUGCACCAUACACCCCCCCCCCACUGAACCGUGCCCAGCACCCAAGCAAGAUGGUGCGCUGCUGAGGCAUGGGCGUAAGGGCAGGUGAUGAGGUGCUUUCCCGAAGCAGGUAGCAGCUAGUAAGCAGCCGAGCCAGGCUUUUUUCUGGGGCGGGUGGUACUGGGAAUUGAACGCAGGACCUUGCACUUGCCGGGCAGGCACUUGCGCCACUGAGCUAUAUCCCCGCCCCCAAGCCAGGCUUUGAAUGGACCUGUCCUUCUGGAGGGUCUCCCAGGACUCGGGUCUCACUGCUUCGCCCGGGUUCCCACCCUGUGCAGGCCUCCGCCAGGGACGACAAUGUGCCACGGUGACACGGGGUGAGGGCAAGACCCGAAGUGACACAGGUGGUCACACACACCAGCCAAACAGACCACACAUGCAGCCCACUUUAUUAACACAAACUGAGAAGCUACUGAACCUUGCAGCCGAUUAACAAGUCAAACACUUAAGAACGUGUCAGAGACUGAACCAAAAGGCCCUCUCUGUGGUUUCAGAGAGAGUAAGAGGAGGGCAGGGGGCCAGCACUGCUUAUCACAGGAGGCCACAAAGAGUGCCCUGCAUCGUCUCAGUCUCACAGCUCCCCUCCUCCUUCUGACUUUCUUCCAAUAUCUUCCAUGAUCUGCUCCAGGUCCAGGCCAACGGAGGCUUCAUCUUCAAGGCAGACACUUCCAGGCUCCUGAAUCAGCGGCUCUUGGGGUGUAGAUCUUUCUUUCCCCUCUAAAGGAAGGGCCCUAUGAUGAGGUGGUGGGGUGAGGCCCUUUGGCACCAUUCUAACUUCCUUUUCCUCAGGCAGGAUAACUGCUGGAGUCUUGCUUUGGGGAACUUGAAAUCUUUUCUUAGAUCCUAAAUGAAAAAGGAACAAAGUUGAGAGUCCCACUGGUCAGUCUAGUCUGACUUUUACAAGUCAAAUUCUUAAAUGCCCACACUGGUAAAAUCUCUGGAAAAGGUGACCUUUCUUAGUACACAACACAUGGGCUUUUGGAUCAGAAAGACUUAAGACUGAAGCCAUAAAUCAGCCACAUGCUCAACAUGGGUCUUAAGUUUUAAAAUCUCUGCGCAUCAGUUUUCUUAAAUUUAAAAUGGCAAUUGUCUAGUCAUAGAGCUACUGAAAGAAUUAGAAGGAACAAGCGUGGAAGUAUCUAGCCAGCCAUGGCAAAUCCAACAAAAAUCUUUUCCCCACCAUUCUCCCAUAUCUGGAUUCAUCAAAUUAAUAACCACUGCUUUUCUUUUUUUGAGACCGUCUCACUAUGUAGCCCAGGAUGACCUCAAACUUGCAGUGAUCCUCCUGCCUCAGCCUCCUGAUUGCUGGGAUUACAGGCACGUGCCACUAUACCUGGCCCCAUUAUAUUUCGUAGCAUGUUCUAAGUACAAUCUGAGACAUACCCUUUUCAUUCUGAAUUUCAUGCUUUCCUCAAAGUAACAAAACACUAUAGGAAUGCUCAGAAAUGAUCCAGGGAGGAAAGAUAACAGACAUGGGCCUCAUUUCCUCAUAAUUUUUUAGAUGUUGAACCUUACCUGGCUGGUCCAGAUCUGGAUUCCUUUGCUCUUCUUUCCGUUCCAUUAUGGGUACAGAGGGCACUGUGGAUUCACUGUGCAGACAUCUCUUGGUUACCUUCUUUUUCACAAUCUUGUCUUGUCCGUCCACUGUGCCUACAUCACCCCAUCCCAAACAUGAAGAAAAUGUAUUUCUCUCUAAACAGCGCGGCAAGGGCAGAUGGUCCCCCCACAUUUAGUCUCUGCCCUGCUCAACAUCUUCUGCUCAUUUUCAAUCUAGUGAGUUCUCUGUGGUUCUGACUUUCCCAACCAUCUUGAUUUUUUUUGUGUGUGUGUGUGUGUCUUUUUGAGACUGGGUCUCUCACUAGGCAGUUCAGGCUGGUCUUGAGCUCACUUUGUAGCCCAGGCUGGUCUUGAACUCACAACAGUCCUCCUGCCUCAGUCUCCCGAGUGCUGGGAUUACAGGCGUGUGCCACCACGCCCUGCCUUUGAUUUUUUUUUUUAAUUCCCUGGAUCUUCUCUUUAAGAUUUUCUUCAGAGCCUGCCUUCUCCAGGAAGUUGUCCUUCCUGGCUAAGAAUUUAAAACUUUGCAACUUUAACCUAAGAUUUUAUAAAACACAAAAUGAGGUGGCCCACCAGGCAGUGACACAUGUCUACAAUCCCAUAAUUCUGGGAGGCUGAGGCAGGAAGGGCACGGGUUCAAGCUCAGCCUGGGCCAACUUUAGCAACAUGGAGAUCCUGUCUCAAAAUUUUAAAAAAUAUCAAAAAAGGGCUGGGGAUGUACCUCUGUGCAAAGGCCCUUAGUUCAAUCUCCAGCACAGCAAUAAUUAUCUACUUAAAACGAAGCUACACUUCCUCCCUAACACGAUAAGCUAGUCUUGCCUGUUUUUUGAGGUCCGGACCUGAAACAAUCAGUGAGGUCCGACUACCUGCAGAUCCCCUUCCACCCUCUGCCUCUGCCUGCCCUCACUUUGUGACAGGUUCCCUUUCCAGGUGGCCUGCUUACCUUUCGGCUUGGGGUUUUUGGUCUUUAUCUUGGCUGACUUGGGACCAGGCAAAGUUGGGUCCUGCGGAUGGGAGAGAAAUUUAUUUUAAAAGAUAAACUGAGCCACAUAACUAUAUUUAACAGAGAAGGACACUAUAAAAUAAUAGGGGGGCUGACUCCUAAAAGGGGUCCUCCAUGAGCUGGUCAAUGUCUAAAUGUGUGGCCGCACAAACAAAAUGUGUGGAGACGUUCCCAUUCCACUUAGUAUUUGUCAAUGCAAGGCUUUCUGCAUCAAAGGAAAUAAAAGGAGGCCAGAAGCAUGGCAAAAGUAGGUAAAUUUUAAAAAAGGAAGUCAAAAAUCUAUGUGUCAUAUUCCGGCAAAAGAGAUCCAAAGAAAAUGAGCGACUGAAUGUCCUAAGUGUCCACAUGAGGGGAGAAAAGGGCAGAGGGAAGCAAUCUGCUGUUCUCUAAAACUGCCCCAGGUAGAACCAAAGAAAUACAGUAGAAACUGAGAUUAUAAUCAGGGAUUUCUGAGAAAGAUGAAGU